AUUUUGCAACAGGCUGUGACAACCUACCACUUUAAGGUUAUCACAGCAGCUGCUCCUUCCUUCACUGUGAUGGCAAGGAGAGAGUUCAGACCUCCUGCUCCAAAACCACAAGCCCUCUACCACUUGUGCUGAAGGGAGAACUUUAUUCCUGUCUUCUGGUCAAAUGAAGAGCAACAGCCUGCCUGAUGGUCAUAGGCUAAGAGCAAAAUGGCUGGCUUCACCUAAGCAAGAUUUCCUCAGAAAGACCAAGUAUUGGCCACUGCCAGAGGCAUGAAACCAGACUAGAUGGACCAGAGAUACACCCGCCAACAUCAGAAAGCUACAAAUGGGAACAUCUGGGGAGAAAAAAACAGGGACAAGACCUUUCUUUUUCUUGAAAUGCAUUGGACCGGGAAAGCUUUUUGGAGGGACUAAGUAGAACAAUGAUGUAUAUAUCUAACUAAAAAUACCCUCCCUCCUAUAUAUAGUGAUUGGCAUGACUGAGCACUUUGUAAAUGGAUCAGUAGAGGCACUGCUCUGAUCUGGAGCAGCAAAUCCUAUGUGAUGAUGUGGGGAUCUAUCUACGUAUGAGUGAGAUUAUUAACACUCUGUAUGGCUCUGUGCCAGGUUGCAAACUCCAUUUUGAAUGGUUUGUCCUUCCAUCUCCAUGUUGGACUGAAAUUCCAAGGUAUGGGGGCCUGGGUCUAAUACUGGAGGGUUGUUAAAUCUUGAUCAUCUUCUAUUCAAACAGAAUCACCCUUGCACAUAGAGCUGUUGCUGCCCAGAAGAACCAGUCUGGGCUGGUAACCAAGUAACGGAUCACCUGGUGAGGGAUUUUGAUCACCUGAUCAGACUGAACAGAGAGUCACUUGACAAAGGGGAUGGAUGGUUAUAGACUAGCGGGUCUCUCAGCAGCCAUUUUAAGGAGCACAAGUGAUCACAAGCAGAAGCAGUGAAAGCCUGAGCAGGAGAAUGGAGGGGCAUUGACGAUAGAGGUCAGAGCAAGAGAAAAGAUUCAGAAAAGAAGCUGUGUACUGCA